UACAGAGGUCCCAAGCGUUGUUCGGAUUCAUUGGGCGUAAAGGGUGCGUAGGUGGCGUCGUAAGUCGGGUGUGAAAUCUCGGGGCUUAACUCCGAAACUGCAUUCGAUACUGCGGUGCUUGAGGACUGGAGAGGAGACUGGAAUUUACGGUGUAGCAGUGAAAUGCGUAGAGAUCGUAAGGAAGACCAGUGGCGAAGGCGGGUCUCUGGACAGUAACUGACACUCAACUACGAAAGCGUGGGGAGCAAACAGG
rnacentral:rRNA from 1 species